AUUGUUUUCAACAAGUAACAUUUUUUCAUUUUAUUUAAACAUCUGCAGUAGCUUCUUUGUGCAAAGGAAAAUGAACUCUGUGGACCUUUCACUGGUGCUGCAAGCAGCACCGUAUUCUUUUCAUAGAGCGGUGAGGAAACAGCAUAAAUCCAAGCCAAACCGAUAUGAUGGGACUUCUCUACUUUAACUUCUUAAGAGCUGUGACACUAAACGAAGACUUUUGGCAGCGUAGCGUUGUUACAGAGGACUGAACGGACCCCGCAGAUCCCCCGCCACGAGAACCCUGGCAGCGCAGCUCUGGGAUCGCUGUUGACGACCCGUGCUGUUUCUGAACCUCCUGCGCUUAUGACCAGUGAGUCUGCCAGUGCCAAGGGCUGAGGAUGAAGAGGGAAGGCAGGAGGAAGAAGAGAGUGUUCCGGAAACAUGUCACAUAGACUAUCAUUCAUCUCCACGGUCAGGUAGCAAAAUAAUACAAAUUCGUCCCAUCAGAACCCAGAAGAGGAGCCACAAUGCAUUAAAUUCAGAGUACCUA